AAGUCGUAACAAGGUUUCCGUAGGUGAACCUGCGGAAGGAUCAUUACCACGUUCCAACGUAUCAACCAACCGUGAAUCGUUUUCAACGCUCCCACCACAGGGAAUGAGCUGAAUAGCAAACGUGCGUGUGCGGAGUCUUCGGACUAGCGAAUGCUAAACAACUUAUCUUCGGAUAGACAGCUGUAUUCUUGUGGGUGGCUUAUUCCUGCUACUCUUGGUUUCCGACACCGAUCGCGGAGUGGCAUGGAACAACACACCUAUUAACUAUAUUAACCGCUUUUGCUAGUUGACUUUUAUCUGUUGUUCUUUGCUUCGGCAUGGAACACACGUUUAAUUAUUUGAACGUUAAAAAUACAACUCUUAGCAAUGGAUAUCUUGGUUCUC
rnacentral:misc_RNA from 1 species